ACGAUCUGUAGUUGGUCUGAGAGGACGACCAGCCACACUGGGACUGAGACACGGCCCAGACUCCUACGGGAGGCAGCAGUGGGGAAUUUUGGACAAUGGGCGCAAGCCUGAUCCAGCAAUGCCGCGUGCAGGAAGAAGGCCUUCGGGUUGUAAACUGCUUUUGUCAGGGAAGAAAUCUUCUGGGCUAAUACCCCGGGAGGAUGACGGUACCUGAAGAAUAAGCACCGGCUAACUACGUGCCAGCAGCCGCGGUAAUACGUAGGGUGCGAGCGUUAAUCGGAAUUACUGGGCGUAAAGCGUGCGCAGGCGGCUUUGCAAGACAGAUGUGAAAUCCCCGGGCUCAACCUGGGAACU
rnacentral:rRNA from 1 species